rnacentral:rRNA from 1 species
UGGGGAAUUUUGGACAAUGGGCGAAAGCCUGAUCCAGCAAUGCCGCGUGUGUGAAGAAGGCCUUCGGGUUGUAAAGCACUUUUGUCCGGAAAGAAAUCCUUGGCUCUAAUACAGUCGGGGGAUGACGGUACCGGAAGAAUAAGCACCGGCUAACUACGUGCCAGCAGCCGCGGUAAUACGUAGGGUGCAAGCGUUAAUCGGAAUUACUGGGCGUAAAGCGUGCGCAGGCGGUUUGCUAAGACCGAUGUGAAAUCCCCGGGCUCAACCUGGGAACUGCAUUGGUGACUGGCAGGCUAGAGUAUGGCAGAGGGGGGUAGAAUUCCACGUGUAGCAGUGAAAUGCGUAGAGAUGUGGAGGAAUACCGAUGGCGAAGGCAGCCCCCUGGGCCAAAUACUGACGCUCAUGCACGAAAAGCGUGGGGAGCAAAACAGGAUUAGAUACCCUGGUAGUCCACGCCCUAAACGAUGUCAACUAGUGUGGGGAUUCAUUUCUAGUAACGUAGCUAACGCGUGAAGUUGACCGCCUGGGGAGUACGGUCGCAAGAUUAAAACUUAAAGGAAUUGACGGGGUCAUAGCUGUUUCCU